rnacentral:misc_RNA from 1 species
UAAAAGCAGUUAUUAAGUUUUUUUCUUUAAAGCUUUUGACACUUAAUAACACUUUAAGUUAACCUUAGUAAACAUCAUUAAGUUUACCUUUCAAAGAUCAAAGAACAAUUAUUAAAAUCUUUUUGAUCAGAUAACUAAUAAACUAACUAACUAAAUCAUUGAUGCAUAAUUAACUGCAUCAAUGAUUUUUUUUUAUUAUUUUUACCGCAAAAAAUGCAGAUUUAUCUGUUAAACUAAUGAUUUAAAAAGGCUUUUUUUUAUUAUCAAUCAUUGGUUAUUUUUUACUUGUGAUUUUAGCUUUAAUGCUUAUAAAAAAAUCCAAUGACAAAAGUUUUUUUAGAAAAGUGUUGUGCAAACUGAUUUGUUAUGCUAUAAUCUAUAAGGCUUAUAUAG